rnacentral:tRNA from 1 species
GCCGGAUUGGUGGAAUUGGCAGACACGACGCACUCAAAAUGCGUUGCCGAAAGGUGUGCGGGUUCAAGUCCCGCAUCCGGCACCA